rnacentral:rRNA from 1 species
UACGUAGGGGGGCAAGCGUUGUCCGGAUUUAUUGGGCGUAAAGAGCGUGUAGGCGGCUAGAUAGGUCCGUUGUGAAAACUCGAGGCUCAACCUCGAGACGCCGAUGGAAACCAUCUGGCUAGAGUCCGGAAGAGGAGAGUGGGAAUUCCUGGUGUAGCGGUGGAAUGCGUAGAGAUCCGGAAGAACACCGGUGGCGAAGGCGGGUCACUGGGCCGAUACUGACGCUGAGGAGCGAAAGCGUGGGGAGCGAACAGG